GAGUUUAGAACACUUUGUUUCAACUAAGCAAUUUAUGAUUCCCCCACUGUAGUUUUGCUUCCAUGCAGCCAUGAGUAUGUGAAAGGUCAAAGCAACAUCAGGGAACUUUGUACUCUUGUUUUUCAAACACUGUGUGAUGGUCCCAGCCCAGUGACAAGCACCUGGGGGAGGGAAGUUAGCCAUUGAACAAGGAAAUUGUUUUGCAAUCAUUCUAAGUACAACAUAUUAGACAAAGAACUUAGAUGAGCAUACCAGACGCCAGAUAUAUUCGGGGAAGGGCAAUAUGUUUAGCUUCAAAUGUUAAUGUGAAUGACUCUCUAAGACAUAUGGAGGUAGAAAAAAAACAGGGAGAUCGUAUCCGCUUAUGGCUAUUUACCCCAGCCCUGGCUCUCUAUAGUGGACAACAAAGCAAUCCUGAACCCUCUGCACUGCACUGAAUCCCUGCGCCAUGAAUCCUCUGAGUGAUCCUUGGUUCCCCAUGUGGGAGAGAAAGACUGCCAUAGUGUAAUACUGCAUAAAAAGUGAUUUAUUAAAAACACAGAUGUACACUUACAGUUAUGUAGAAACAUAAACGCAUGUCAUAAA